rnacentral:rRNA from 1 species
AAAUUGAAGAGUUUGAUCAUGGCUCAGAUUGAACGCUGGCGGCAGGCCUAACACAUGCAAGUCGAGCGGCAGCGGGAAAGUAGCUUUCUACUUUUGCCGGCGAGCGGCGGACGGGUGAGUAAUGCCUGGGGAUCUGCCCAGUCGAGGGGGAUAACAGUUGGAAACGACUGCUAAUACCGCAUACGCCCUACGGGGGAAAGGAGGGGACCUUCGGGCCUUUCGCGAUUGGAUGAACCCAGGUGGGAUUAGCUAGUUGGUGGGGUAAUGGCUCACCAAGGCGACGAUCCCUAGCUGGUCUGAGAGGAUGAU